rfam:Eubacterium limosum KIST612, complete genome.
CAAAGAGUAGACAAGGUGCGUAAAGUGUUAAAGGAUGGGAAGUUGCCUUUAAACGAAAAUAGGUCAUUGCGGUACCUUGUCGCUUCCGCUUG